CACAGAAGUAACAAGAAGCCUUGGUGCGCCACAACAGCGACAUCAGGAUAAGCUAGUAAACAUUUGUAAUACAGGUUGUAGCAUUCGGUAGUCAGGCACAUUUUUAGGUUAGUGAGAUCAAUAUUUCAGCAGUUUAGGUCCUCGUUUGGAUUAGAUGAUUUAGCAAGAUGCACAUGUCAGGGAAGAGUAUUCAGAGGAGUGACAAAGAAGGAACACCUGAAAUGUAUAAUCCUAAUAUAAACACACUGUACAGUUAAAUAUAUGCUAAAUGUGUGACUCUAGUGUGACCUGAGAGACAGUGCACAUUUUAUAUUAUUAGGGGAAAAACAUAGUUGCACGAAGAGCCUAUACCUCUCAGCUUUUAGUAUUGUAUUAUCUGGCUUAUCCUGCCGCUCUCACAGUUAACAUGCUUAGUGGGUAUGGCUAGACCCUGUUGCUAAAGUUUGUCAUUGUUGUCACAUCUAGCCUUAAUUAGCUGAGUGUGCUAUAGCAAGAUUUAACAAAUUAUGAAACCACUGGUAACGAUUAUUUACAAAAAGAAAACACUAAUCAAUUGAAAAGAACUGCUUUGAUACUGUAGGCUAGUUGCAUAGGUGGGCUUGGAGUUUGCCUUUAUGUCUGAAGCCUGUGCUAGCAUAUGAGGAGUAUUUAAGGUUAAC